CGGGCGGCGGCUACCAUGCAGUCGAGCGGAUGAGAAGAGCUUGCUCUUCGAUUCAGCGGCGGACGGGUGAGUAAUGCCUAGGAAUCUGCCUGGUAGUGGGGGACAACGUUUCGAAAGGAACGCUAAUACCGCAUACGUCCUACGGGAGAAAGCAGGGGACCUUCGGGCCUUGCGCUAUCAGAUGAGCCUAGGUCGGAUUAGCUAGUUGGUGGGGUAAUGGCUCACCAAGGCGACGAUCCGUAACUGGUCUGAGAGGAUGAUCAGUCACACUGGAACUGAGACACGGUCCAGACUCCUACGGGAGGCAGCAGUGGGGAAUAUUGGACAAUGGGCGAAAGCCUGAUCCAGCCAUGCCGCGUGUGUGAAGAAGGUCUUCGGAUUGUAAAGCACUUUAAGUUGGGAGGAAGGGCAGUAAGCUAAUAUCUUGCUGUUUUGACGUUACCGACAGAAUAAGCACCGGCUAACUCUGUGCCAGCAGCCGCGGUAAUACAGAGGGUGCAAGCGUUAAUCGGAAUUACUGGGCGUAAAGCGCGCGUAGGUGGUUUGUUAAGUUGGAUGUGAAAGCCCCGGGCUCAACCUGGGAACUGCAUCCAAAACUGGCAAGCUAGAGUACGGUAGAGGGUGGUGGAAUUUCCUGUGUAGCGGUGAAAUGCGUAGAUAUAGGAAGGAACACCAGUGGCGAAGGCGACCACCUGGACUGAUACUGACACUGAGGUGCGAAAGCGUGGGGAGCAAACAGGAUUAGAUACCCUGGUAGUCCACGCCGUAAACGAUGUCAACUAGCCGUUGGAAUCCUUGAGAUUUUAGUGGCGCAGCUAACGCAUUAAGUUGACCGCCUGGUGAGUACGGCCGCAAGGUUAAAACUCAAUUGAAUUGACCGUGUCUCGCCUCAGAUAGAGUGAACAUGGAGAGAGA
rnacentral:rRNA from 1 species